rnacentral:rRNA from 1 species
AUUGAACGCUGGCGGCAGGCCUAACACAUGCAAGUCGAACGGUAACAGGAAGAAGCUUGCUUCUUUGCUGACGAGUGGCGGACGGGUGAGUAAUGUCUGGGAAACUGCCUGAUGGAGGGGGAUAACUACUGGAAACGGUAGCUAAUACCGCAUAAUGUCGCAAGACCAAAGAGGGGGACCUUCGGGCCUCUUGCCAUCGGAUGUGCCCAGAUGGGAUUUGCUAGUAGGUGGGGUAACGGCUCACCUAGGCGACGAUCCCUAGCUGGUCUGAGAGGAUGACCAGCCACACUGGAACUGAGACACGGUCCAGACUCCUACGGGAGGCAGCAGUGGGGAAUAUUGCACAAUGGGCGCAAGCCUGAUGCAGCUAUGCCGCGUGUAUGAAGAAGGCCUUCGGGUUGUAAAGUACUUUCAGCGGGGAGGAAGGGAGUAAAGUUAAUACCUUUGCUCAUUGACGUUACCCGCAGAAGAAGCACCGGCUAACUCCGUG